rnacentral:rRNA from 1 species
GCUGUCGUCAGCUCGUGUUGUGAAAUGUUGGGUUAAGUCCCGCAACGAGCGCAACCCUUAUCCUUUGUUGCCAGCGGUUCGGCCGGGAACUCAAAGGAGACUGCCAGUGAUAAACUGGAGGAAGGUGGGGAUGACGUCAAGUCAUCAUGGCCCUUACGAGUAGGGCUACACACGUGCUACAAUGGCAUAUACAAAGAGAAGCGACCUCGCGAGAGCAAGCGGACCUCAUAAAGUAUGUCGUAGUCCGGAUUGGAGUCUGCAACUCGACUCCAUGAAGUCGGAAUCGCUAGUAAUCGUAGAUCAGAAUGCUACGGUGAAUACGUUCCCGGGCCUUGUACACACCGCCCGUCACACCAUGGGAGUGGGUUGCAAAAGAAGUAGGUAGCUUAACCUUCGGGAGGGCGCUUACCACUUUGUGAUUCAUGACUGGGGUGAAGUCGUAACAAGGUAACCGUAGGGGAACCUGCGGUUGGAUC